AAACAACGAUGGUAGCCUACACAAGCCGUCCGCCAGGGGACUACGAGCACCUAGCUUAAAACCCAAAGGACUUGACGGUGCCUUAGACCCACUUAGAGGAGCCUGUCCUAUAACCGAUACCCCCCGUUAAACCUCACCCCUCCUUGCCAUAUCAGCCUAUAUACCGCCGUCGACAGCUUACCUCAUGAGAGGCACUAUAGUAAGCCAAAUGGGAUAUAAACCCAAAACGUCAGGUCGAGGUGUAGCAGACGGAGCGGGAAGAGAUGGGCUACAUUUUCUGGGCCAGAAAACUACGAAAGGUGAAAUGAAAAUAACACAACCGAAGGUGGAUUUAGCAGUAAGACUUGCAAAAAAGAGAGUUGC
rnacentral:rRNA from 1 species